AGGACGGUGGGAAGAGAUUCGAAUGCGACGGUUCCUGGUGCUGGAAGAUUUAUUCCGCGUCUCCACUCUUCCUCUUGACUGGAAAGACCGUCGGCGUCUACAAAAUCUGGCAUGUCCAUAGUUAACGAAUGAAUGUUUUAGAUGAAAAAAUCUAUCGAUCGAGGAUAUGUAUUUAUAGAGAUGAGUGUGUGCUUUUUAGCUUGCCUGCCAAGCUGGCAAUCACAGUGUUAAUGAAGUUACCCGCUCAGAUUGUAUUUCGUUGCUUUUGAUCCAACGGUUACUUUUUUUGACAAGAAGUUGACGAAA
rnacentral:lncRNA from 1 species